rnacentral:tRNA from 1 species
CAUGAAAUAGUUUAUAAAAAUACCGGUUUUGGGGACCGGUGAUGUGGCAUCCCCACUUUCGUGA